rnacentral:rRNA from 1 species
CCCUUAGAUGUCCUGGGCCGCACGCGCGCUACACUGAUGCAUGCAACGAGUUUAUAACCUUGGCCUGAAAGGUCUGGGUAAUCUUUUGAACGUGCAUCGUGAUAGGGAUAGAUUAUUGCAAUUGUUAAUCUUGAACGAGGAAUUCCUAGUAAACGCGAGUCAUCAGCUCGCAUUGAUUACGACCCUGCCCUUUGUACACACCGCCCGUCGCACCUACCGAUUGAAUGGUUCGGUGAAGAUCUCGGACUUCGAUAUUUAUUCUUUAUUGAGUUUAUAUUGUGGGAAGUUAUCUAAACCUCAUCAUUUAGAGGAAGGUGAAGUCGUAACA